rnacentral:lncRNA from 1 species
AAGAACAAAGUUUUGUCCAUCUUUGUUCAUCAUAGCCAAAAGUUAGAGAAGAUAAAGGAGAGGAGAAAGCUCUUGAAUGUUCAGUUACUUGGGGAAGAAAAUUGAAGGUAAGUUCAUGGUAGUUUGCUUCUAUCUUGAGGUUCAUGAGUUCUUCUUGAUUCUACCUUAACUCUUGAAGCAUAUUUUGGUUUUUAGUUGUGUUGUGAGCAUUUAGUCAUGAAUUAAAAUGAAGGAAAUGGUUGUUGUUUCAUGUUCUUUUGAUGAAAAAUAGAAGAUAGGUGAAGUUGAGCCAAACAAAUGAGCAUGCAUGUGCCUUAGAUGCUAAAGGGAAAAAUCGGCUAACAUGUUGUGCUUUAAAAUGAUGAAAUGGAGAUUAUACUUAAGUAAAAUCAUAGAUAUGUGACGAUUGAUUGGUCAUAUACAUGUUUAAAUAACAUGCAUGCAAGGUAUGUGUGAAAGAGUGAUUUGGUAAUAAAUCUGCUUGGGACAGCAGCAGUAACGUGACUUUGGAAAAUCACCAUAAAUUGUGAGAGAUGAAUUAGAAGCUGAAUAAAUUAUGUAAUUAAAGCUUAAUGAGUCUAGUUUCAAAUGAAAUAAACAAUAACAUAUUUUGGAUUCUGUACAAUGAGAAAUUUGAUUCGUAAUGAAGAGUGGUCAGAUUAGUCAAACAGUGAAACAUGCGAAACUUUGAGAAAAAUAUGGUAUUGAUUGGAUAAAACAAAAAUUCUGAAAAUUUUCUGGAUAGAAGAUAUAUGAGUCUAUUUUCAGGUAAAAUUAACGGCACUUGAUUUGGAGUUUCGUAGCUCUAGUUAUAAAUGAUUUAGUGACUGUUGCUUAGGAAGACAGCUUGCAGUGAAAUUAUGAUUAUGUGGUAAACAUUGACAAAAAUUUGUUAAUGAGUUGCUUAUUGAUUUCUUAUAAGCUUACUAUGAUCUGUAGGUGUAGUUGGCCGAAUAUUAUAAGGGGUUAAUACGUAGUUUGUAUUUGAAUAGUUAGAUUAACGUGUUAGUAAUCCAAUUGUAGGCGGUUCGUGUGUGGAUCUCGUCAGCAUAUCGUCGCAAACAGGUGUGUAACUAACACCCUCUUUCUUAGUCUGGAUCGGCAAAAGUUGAAAUGCCGAAAUGCCGAAAAUCGGUAUUUUGUAGAUUUGCGAGUGUGCGAAUGCUCGUGAGGUAAAUCGAUUAAUGUUUUUGGAAAGCUGCAAAAUUUGGACUGCAAAGUGCAUGAUUUCUGUGCCCUCGAUAUUUUUAGGCUUAAUGGGCCAAAAAUUGGAAUGAUGGGCCAACGGGCCCAAUUCAGUAAGAACCCUCGGUACGUGAUUCUGUUAGUACGUGAAAAGUAAGAAUAUGCAUGAAAAACCCUAAAAUAGAUAAAUUACUGAAAUACCUUUAAAAGUGGAAAAUUUACAGUUUUACUCCUAGUAGAUAAAUUACUGAAAUACCCUUAGGGUUAAAUUGACCUAAAUGCAUGUUUGACUAUUGUUAAUUACUGCAUGACAUGUUGUUAUUAUCUGAUGCAUUGGAUUGGGAUAUUGACGGAGGAAGUACUAAAAGUGGCUUGUCCACGUACUGGAGGCUUUGCCUCAAUUUACUGUUAACUAAGCAGCAAGGCUGCAACUCUGGAGUGUUGGGCUGGGUGGGUUGAACUAUUCCCCACAUGGAGUGUAGGGCUGGUACGGGUGGAGUGUAGUGGUUGGUGGGUUGAGUAGUCUCCCCAAAUGGGCUUGCAUAUGUUAUUGAUGUUGCAUGUAUUUUGAAAUGGGCCUAUGGGCCAUACUGUUAUCUGAAUAAGGGGCUAAGGCCCAGUUUAUUGUAAUCUGAAAAGGGCUCUGGUCCAGUACCACUGUUAUCGGAAUGGGCUUAGGCCCAAUAGGCUUAAGCUAACUUGGGCUUUGAAUGGGUUUUCCUUACACACUGGGUUUCCCCAAACUCACCCCUUUUAUUUUCAUCCACACAGGAAAUCCUCAACCAUAGUGGGCUUGGAGCUGUGAGGGAAUUCGGAGUGGCCACUCGUUCUGAAUGUUUGGUUUUCUUCUGGUGAACUGGACAUCCUAUUAUUUACGUUUGAAGUUUUGGGUUUUUAAAUGUAAUAUGGCCGCUUAAUUAUUCUUGAUG